rnacentral:misc_RNA from 1 species
CUCCUCUAUAAAUGGAUAAGACUUUAGCCUUAAUGUAUACGAGUUUUUGAACAUAAAGGAGCAAUAACAAACCUUAAGAAGAAAUUUGUUAUUGCUCCUUUCUUUAAUUUAGAAGUUUUUUUCUGACGUGAGUUUUAUUUCUUUUUUUUUAGUAUUUUUAUGGAUUGGUUCAUCAUUCAAUAUCAUAUUUUUUUUUUUUUUUGKUUAAAUUUCUAUAGGUAAAGGUAAGGUUUAAGGUUUCCCCAAWUUUUUAUAAAAAAAAAAMMAAAWAGGGGGGGGGGUUUUUCCCAUUGGGAAAAGGG